AAGGAGGAGUUUAGCACAGACUCUAUACAGCUGAGUAGAUCUGAACAUCACACAACACUGUGUGGAGCAGCUGCUCUGUUUUUAGCUUGUUCUUAUACUAGUUCAGUGAGUGAACAUGUUGAUCUAUAUUGUUAUACUGCUGUCAUUAACCGAAGGUUCCAGAGCCUCAGAAGUCAUCACUCCAAAAAGAAACAGAGAAUUUGCUCUUGAGGGUGACAUUAAUGUGACACUCUCCUGUAACUACAACGGUUCUGCUCGUGGUGUUCACUGGUAUCGUCAAUAUGCAGGUUCACCACCACAGUUCCUCAUACUGGAAUAUUCAGGGGUAACAACUCCAGCUAAACCACCCAUUCCAGGAAUAACCAUCAAUCACAGAAAAACUGAAAGCCAUGUGGAUCUGAAGAUCUCCUCUGCUGCUGUAUCAGACUCUGCUCUGUACUACUGUGCUCUGCAGCCCACACUGACAGGAAAACAGACUGCACUGAACAAAAACCUACCUGAGUAG